UACAGGGGGUGCAAGCGUUGCUCGGAAUCACUGGGCGUAAAGCGAGCGCAGGCGGCCGAUUAAGUCAGAGGUGAAAGCCCGGGGCUCAACCCCGGAAUGGCCUUUGAAACUGGUAGGCUUGAAUGCAGGAGAGGGUCGCGGAAUUCUUGGUGUAGAGGUGAAAUUCGUAGAUAUCAGGAAGAACACCAGUGGCGAAAGCGGCGACCUGGCCUGACAUUGACGCUCAUGCUCGAGAGCGUGGAGAGCAAACAGG
rnacentral:rRNA from 1 species